rnacentral:ribozyme from 12 species
UGGUUACAUAGCGUCGUCUGUUUGAUCACUUCAAUUUUGGUUCUAAUUUUCAUUUUUUUUCUUUUUUUUUCUUUUUUUUCCUAAUA